CUUGACCCCUCGUGCGGCGUUAUCUUGCCGAACCUCCCCAGGGCCGGAAGGCAGCAAGGAUAGGCGGGCUCUGACGGGUGCGCGAGGGGUCCCUUGC
rnacentral:SRP_RNA from 1 species